UAUCCUACGGGAGGCAGCAGUGAGGAAUAUUGGUCAAUGGUCGGGAGACUGAACCAGCCAAGCCGCGUGAGGGAGGAAGGUACAGAGUAUCGUAAACCUCUUUUGUCAGGGGACAAGGACUGGGACGCGUCCCCGGAUGAGUGUACCUGAAGAAAAAGCAUCGGCUAACUCCGUGCCAGCAGCCGCGGUAAUACGGAGGAUGCGAGCGUUAUCCGGAUUUAUUGGGUUUAAAGGGUGCGCAGGCGGUCUGUUAAGUCUGAUGUGAAAGCCUUCGGCUUAACCGGAGUAGUGCAUUGGAAACUGGG
rnacentral:rRNA from 1 species